UGGGGAAUAUUGCACAAUGGGCGCAAGCCUGAUGCAGCAACGCCGCGUGAGGGACGAAGGCCUUCGGGUUGUAAACCUCUUUUAGCAGGGAAGAAGCGAAAGUGACGGUACCUGCAGAAAAAGCACCGGCUAACUACGUGCCAGCAGCCGCGGUAAUACGUAGGGUGCAAGCGUUGUCCGGAAUUAUUGGGCGUAAAGAGCUCGUAGGCGGUUUGUCGCGUCUGCUGUGAAAUCCCGAGGCUCAACCUCGGGUCUGCAGUGGGUACGGGCAGACUAGAGUGUGGUAGGGGAGAUUGGAACUCCUGGCGUAGCGGUGGAAUGCGCAGAUAUCAGGAAGAACACCAAUGGCGAAGGCAGAUCUCUGGGCCAUUACUGACGCUGAGGAGCGAAAGCGUGGGGAGCGAACAGG
rnacentral:rRNA from 1 species